rnacentral:misc_RNA from 1 species
AUAGGAACUUUGGCGGAGCCACCCUGCUUCUCCUCCCUCACUUUGUUAAAAAUGUCAGAGUAAUUUUCAGCUGAGGAAGGAUUGUUUUCAUCCCAGGCUCCGAAUGGAGGCACUGUUGAGCUUUUCUCAGGUAUGUCAUCGCCUUGACCAAUAGUCCUCAAUUUAGGCCUUCCUGGGGUGAUUGGAAGUGCGUGGCUACCUUCUGCUGAACCCCUCCUUUCCCAAGGAGAAGAACCCACACCUCUGCCAGCAGAUUUCACUUGAUACUGAGGAUGAAGGGGAGAACUCUCUAUGCUUCGAUCCGCUGAUCCACCAUUUGUUUUGUACAUCUUUCUCUGGGGCUCACCUGAAGUUGUUCGGU